AUCCUGAGUACGACGGAGCACGUGAAAUUCCGUCGGAAUCUGGGAGGACCAUCUCCUAAGGCUAAAUACUCUCUAGUGACCGAUAGUGAACCAGUACCGUGAGGGAAAGGUGAAAAGCACCCCGGAAGGGGAGUGAAAUAGAACCUGAAACCGUGUGCUUACAAGUAGUCAGAGCCCGUUAAUGGGUGAUGGCGUGCCUUUUGUAGAAUGAACCGGCGAGUUACGAUUUGAUGCAAGGUUAAGCAGUAAAUGUGGAGCCGUAGCGAAAGCGAGUCUGAAUAGGGCGUUUAGUAUUUGGUCGUAGACCCGAAACCAGGUGAUCUACCCUUGGUCAGGUUGAAGUUCAGGUAACACUGAAUGGAGGACCGAACCGACUUACGUUGAAAAGUGAGCGGAUGAACUGAGGGUAGCGGAGAAAUUCCAAUCGAACCUGGAGAUAGCUGGUUCUCUCCGAAAUAGCUUUAGGGCUAGCCUCAAGUGAUGAUUAUUGGAGGUAGAGCACUGUUUGGACGAGGGGCCCCUCUCGGGUUACCGAAUUCAGACAAACUCCGAAUGCCAAUUAAUUUAACUUGGGAGUCAGAACAUGGGUGAUAAGGUCCAUGUUCGAAAGGGAAACAGCCCAGACCACCAGCUAAGGUCCCAAAAUAUAUGUUAAGUGGAAAAGGAUGUGGCGUUGCCCAGACAACUAGGAUGUUGGCUUAGAAGCAGCCAUCAUUUAAAGAGUGCGUAAUAGCUCACUAGUCGAGUGACACUGCGCCGAAAAUGUACCGGGGCUAAACAUAUUACCGAAGCUGUGGAUUGUCCUUUGGACAAUGGUAGGAGAGCGUUCUAAGGGCGUUGAAGCAUGAUCGCAAGGACAUGUGGAGCGCUUAGAAGUGAGAAUGCCGGUGUGAGUAGCGAAAGAUGGGUGAGAAUCCCGUCCACCGAUUGACUAAGGUUUCCAGAGGAAGGCUCGUCCGCUCUGGGUUAGUCGGGUCCUAAGCUGAGGCCGACAGGCGUAGGCGAUGGAUAACAGGUUGAUAUUCCUGUACCACCUAUAAUCGUUUUAAUCGAUGGGGGGACGCAGUAGGAUAGGCGAAGCGUGCGAUUGGAUUGCACGUCUAAGCAGUAAGGCUGAGUAUUAGGCAAAUCCGGUACUCGUUAAGGCUGAGCUGUGAUGGGGAGAAGACAUUGUGUCUUCGAGUCGUUGAUUUCACACUGCCGAGAAAAGCCUCUAGAUAGAAAAUAGGUGCCCGUACCGCAAACCGACACAGGUAGUCAAGAUGAGAAUUCUAAGGUGAGCGAGCGAACUCUCGUUAAGGAACUCGGCAAAAUGACCCCGUAACUUCGGGAGAAGGGGUGCUCUUUAGGGUUAACGCCCAGAAGAGCCGCAGUGAAUAGGCCCAAGCGACUGUUUAUCAAAAACACAGGUCUCUGCUAAACCGUAAGGUGAUGUAUAGGGGCUGACGCCUGCCCGGUGCUGGAAGGUUAAGAGGAGUGGUUAGCUUCUGCGAAGCUACGAAUCGAAGCCCCAGUAAACGGCGGCCGUAACUAUAACGGUCCUAAGGUAGCGAAAUUCCUUGUCGGGUAAGUUCCGACCCGCACGAAAGGCGUAACGAUUUGGGCACUGUCUCAACGAGAGACUCGGUGAAAUCAUAGUACCUGUGAAGAUGCAGGUUACCCGCGACAGGACGGAAAGACCCCGUGGAGCUUUACUGUAGCCUGAUAUUGAAAUUCGGCACAGCUUGUACAGGAUAGGUAGGAGCCUUUGAAACGUGAGCGCUAGCUUACGUGGAGGCGCUGGUGGGAUACUACCCUAGCUGUGUUGGCUUUCUAACCCGCACCACUUAUCGUGGUGGGAGACAGUGUCAGGCGGGCAGUUUGACUGGGGCGGUCGCCUCCUAAAAGGUAACGGAGGCGCUCAAAGGUUUCCUCAGAAUGGUUGGAAAUCAUUCAUAGAGUGUAAAGGCAUAAGGGAGCUUGACUGCGAGACCUACAAGUCGAGCAGGGUCGAAAGACGGACUUAGUGAUCCGGUGGUUCCGCAUGGAAGGGCCAUCGCUCAACGGAUAAAAGCUACCCCGGGGAUAACAGGCUUAUCUCCCCCAAGAGUUCACAUCGACGGGGAGGUUUGGCACCUCGAUGUCGGCUCAUCGCAUCCUGGGGCUGUAGUCGGUCCCAAGGGUUGGGCUGUUCGCCCAUUAAAGCGGUACGCGAGCUGGGUUCAGAACGUCGUGAGACAGUUCGGUCCCUAUCCGUCGUGGGCGUAGGAAAUUUGAGAGGAGCUGUCCUUAGUACGAGAGGACCGGGAUGGACAUACCUCUGGUGUACCAGUUGUCGUGCCAACGGCAUAGCUGGGUAGCUAUGUGUGGACGGGAUAAGUGCUGAAAGCAUCUAAGCAUGAAGCCCCCCUCAAGAUGAGAUUUCCCAACUUCGGUUAUAAGAUCCCUCAAAGAUGAUGAGGUUAAUAGGUUCGAGGUGGAAGCAUGGUGACAUGUGGAGCUGACGAAUACUAAUCGAUCGAAGACUUAAUCAAAUU
rnacentral:rRNA from 1 species